rnacentral:rRNA from 1 species
AGGACGAACGCUGGCGGCGUGCUUAACACAUGCAAGUGGAGCGACGAACCAGGGCUUGCCCUGGGGCAGAGCCGCGAACGGGUGAGUAACACGUGGGUUACCUGCCUUGAUGACCGGGACAACCCGAGGAAACUCGGGCUAAUACCGGAUGUGCCCGCAAGGGGAAAGGAAGCUUCGGCCUCCGCAUCAAGAUGGGCCCGCGGCCCAUUAGCUUGUUGGUGAGGUAACGGCUCACCAAGGCUUCGAUGGGUAGCUGGUCUGAGAGGAUGACCAGCCAGACUGGGACUGAGAACGGCCCAGACUCCUACGGGAGGCAGCAGUAGGGAAUUUUCCACAAUGGGCGAAAGCCUGAUGGAGCAACGCCGCGUGCAGGAUGAAGGCUCUAGGGUCGUAAACUGCUUUAUCUGUGACGAAUAUGACGGUAGCAGAUGAAUAAGGAUCGGCUAACUCCGUGCCAGCAGCCGC